CACGUAGGGUGCGAGCGUUGUCCGGAAUUACUGGGCGUAAAGAGCUCGUAGGCGGUGUGUCGCGUCGGCCGUGAAAACCUGCAGCUUAACUGUGGGCGUGCGGUCGAUACGGGCAUCACUGGAGUUCGGCAGGGGAGACUGGAAUUCCUGGUGUAGCGGUGAAAUGCGCAGAUAUCAGGAGGAACACCGGUGGCGAGGGCGGGUCUCUGGGCCGAUACUGACGCUGAGGAGCGAAAGCGUGGGGAGCGAACAGG
rnacentral:rRNA from 1 species